UUUUUUAUAAAAGCCUCUCUUAUUAGACUCUUUUCUCAAAAACAGUUUCUUCGCCUUUUCUCAGCCUUUGACCCCCAAUGUAGUCUCCAUUGUUUUCCCCAACCCUCCCCUGUCACUGCCUUCAGUCAUCAAUUUGCUACCCUCACCGAAGCUGUUUCCCCCUUCUCUUUCUUUUCUCUAAUUUACCAAAUCCUUCUCUCUACAAUGAUGAAGAACUUCUUAGGCCCCUUAAAAUCAACCCAACGUCUCACAAAAAGCUUUCCUCCCAUUGUAUUACGUCCUGCUACCGUCUUCUCGGAGUUGCUGCCUUACAGUUCGACGUCAAGAACAUGUUUACUGUGAUCGGACCGGUCUUUCUCCAAAAGCUUUACUGAGAGAGUAGGAGAGAAAGAUCUAUGGGAGGCCCUUCACUACUGUUAGACCAGUCCCCUCUGAUACUGAUGAAGAGAUUGUAGCAUCAAUUGUUGAUUUGACGCAACCGGAUGAAGCAUGGAGUCAAAUGUUUUGUCUAUGAGAUUGUUCUGGGAGGAUUUGAUAUGAUCUAUAGUGGAAGAUACAAGAUUGAAACUCCAGAGUAGUUAAGAUUUUUUUUUUUUGUCUGGCUUAUUUAUUGACUUUCUACAAAGUUUUUAUGCAUUAAGACUAAUUGAUUGCAAAUGGAUAUGUUUUUUAGUUUAAGCAAGCUGCAGAAACCGCAUUGAAGCUUGAUUUGGACAGGCAUUAAUAUGUUGUUACUUAUGCAGUGAGCCACAUCAAGUGCAGUUUCUAUUCAUUAUAAUGUCUAUCAAUAUUGUAUGCUUUGUUUGAGGACUCGGGUUGUGUUACAAAGCUGUUUGUACCAUAACAUUGUUCAUUUCCCUGCCUUUGUAUUAUUAAUAACAGCAGCUAGAUAAAUGCGUGGCCUAGCAAAAUGCCACAUGUUGAAGUUAUCAUUUCUUUGAACUUUAAAGUUCACCUGUUAAGGCAACAUGGGCAGUUGUAAGUUACUAAUGAAGAGAAUAUGGAUGCACUAAUAUAGGUGAGUGAGUAAUGGGGAUACUUUGUCAUGGACAAUGGGAAUUAAAUUGUGAGAACCAUGAUUGUGGCUAGGGGGUUUGGUGUCAUUGUGAAGAAUAAGUUUUUAUUUAAUUUUUUUGUUAUCUUAUAUUCAUUAGCAAGGAAUAGGAUAUUUUCAUGAUAGCUGAACGAGAACCCUUUUCAAUAUUAA